rnacentral:rRNA from 1 species
UACGUAGGGUGCAAGCGUUAAUCGGAAUUACUGGGCGUAAAGCGUGCGCAGGCGGUUUUGUAAGUCUGGUGUGAAAUCCCCGGGCUCAACCUGGGAAUUGCAUUGGAGACUGCAAGGCUAGAAUCUGGCAGAGGGGGGUAGAAUUCCACGUGUAGCAGUGAAAUGCGUAGAGAUGUGGAGGAACACCGAUGGCGAAGGCAGCCCCCUGGGUCAAGAUUGACGCUCAUGCACGAAAGCGUGGGGAGCAAACAGG